rnacentral:rRNA from 1 species
AUUGAACGCUGGCGGCAGGCCUAACACAUGCAAGUCGAACGAGUGGCGGACGGGUGAGUAAUGUUUGGGAAUCUACCUUAUGGAGGGGGAUAACUACGGGAAACUGUAGCUAAUACCGUGUAACAUAGUAUGAGCCCAUGUGGGAUUAGGUAGUUGGGGAGGGAAAGGCUCACCAAGCCGACGAUCUCUAGCUGGUCUGAGAGGAUGAACAGCCACACUGGGACGGAGACACGGCCCAGACUCCGACGUGAGGCAGCAGUGGGGAAUCUUGUGCAAUGGGCGAAAGCCUGACCGAGACACGCCGCGUGAGUGAAGAAGGUGUUCGGAUCGUAAAACGCUGUUAUUAGAGAAGCGUUAUCUAAACAGAAAGCCACGGCUAACUACGUGCCAGCAGCCGCGGUAAUUC